rnacentral:rRNA from 1 species
AACGAACGCUGGCGGCAGGCUUAACACAUGCAAGUCGAACGCAUCCUUCGGGGUGAGUGGCAGACGGGUGAGUAACGCGUGGGAACGUGCCCUUCAGUUCGGGAUAACCCAGGGAAACUUGGGCUAAUACCGGAUACGUGCGAGAGCAGAAAGAUUUAUCGCUGAAGGAUCGGCCCGCGUCUGAUUAGCCAGUUGGUGGGGUAAUGGCCCACCAAGGCGACGAUCAGUAGCUGGUCUGAGAGGAUGAUCAGCCACAUUGGGACUGAGACGCGGCCCAAACUCCUACGGGAGGCAGCAGUGGGGAAUAUUGGACAAUGGGCGCAAGCCUGAUCCAGCCAUGCCGCGUGAGUGAUGAAGGCCUUAGGGUUGUAAAGCUCUUUCGUCCGGGACGAUAAUGACGGUACCGGAAGAAGAAGCCCCGGCUAACUUCGUGCCAGCCGCCGCGGUAA